rnacentral:SRP_RNA from 13 species
CUCCUCAUACCUGCACUGGGCUGGAGCUGGAGGCAAUUCGCAGGAGGCCUUGAUACAAGUGCUUCCCUGCACGUCAAAGAUGAUAGUCCGUCCUUCGGGGUGCUGGG